ACGAACGCUGGCGGCGUGCUUAACACAUGCAAGUCGAACGGAAAGGCCCUUCGGGGUACUCGAGUGGCGAACGGGUGAGUAACACGUGGGUGAUCUGCCCUGCACUUUGGGAUAAGCCUGGGAAACUGGGUCUAAUACCGAAUAUGACCAUGCACUUCCUGGUGUGUGGUGGAAAGCUUUUGCGGUGUGGGAUGGGCCCGCGGCCUAUCAGCUUGUUGGUGGGGUAAUGGCCUACCAAGGCGACGACGGGUAGCCGGCCUGAGAGGGUGACCGGCCACACUGGGACUGAGAUACGGCCCAGACUCCUACGGGAGGCAGCAGUGGGGAAUAUUGCACAAUGGGCGCAAGCCUGAUGCAGCGACGCCGCGUGAGGGAUGACGGCCUUCGGGUUGUAAACCUCUUUCAGCACAGACGAAGCGCAAGUGACGGUAUGUGCAGAAGAAGGACCGGCCAACUACGU
rnacentral:rRNA from 1 species